UUGAUCCUGCCGGAGGUUACUGCUAUCGAGAUUCGACUAAGCCAUGCGAGUUGAAUGUUCUUCGUGAACAUGGCGGACCGCUCAGUAACACGUGGACAACCUACCCUUCGGUCCGGCAUAAUCCUGGGAAACUGGGGAUAAUUCCGGAUAGGUCACAGAUGCUGGAAUGCUCUGCGGCUUAAAGCUCCGGCGCCGAAGGAUGGGUCUGCGGCCUAUCAGGGUUGUAGUGGGUGUAACGUACCUACUAGCCUACGACGGGUACGGGUUGUGAGAGCAAGAGCCCGGAGAUGGAUUCUGAGACACGAAUCCAGGCCCUACGGGGUGCAGCAGGCGCGAAAGCUUUACAAUGCGGGAAACCGUGAUAAGGGAAUCUCGAGUGCCAGCAUAUAAUGUUGGCUGUCCAAAUGCCUAAAAAGCAUUUGUUAGCAAGGGCCGGGCAAGACCGGUGCCAGCCGCCGCGGUAACACCGGCGGCCCGAGUGGUAACCGUUUUUAUUGGGUCUAAAGGGUCUGUAGCCGGCCAUGUAAGUCCCUUGGGAAAUCUGGCAGCUCAACUGUCAGGCUGCCAGGGGAUACUGCUUGGCUUGGGACCGGGAGAGGUGAGAGGUACUUUGAGGGAGGGGGUGAAAUCUUGUGAUCCUCGGGGGACCACCAGUGGCGAAGGCGUCUCACCAGAACGGGUCCGACGGUAAGGGACGAAAGCUAGGGGCACGAACCGGAUUAGAUACCCGGGUAGUCCUAGCCGUAAACGAUGCUCGCUAGGUGUCAGUCACGGUGCGACCGUGAUUGGUGCCGUAGGGAAGCCGUGAAGCGAGCCACCUGGGAAGUACGGCCGCAAGGC
rnacentral:rRNA from 1 species